GCGGUUCGGGCGGUAACAGGGNGAAGCUUGCUUCUCNGCUGACGAGCGGCGGACGGGUGAGUAAUGUAUGGGGAUCUGCCUGAUGGCGGGGGAUAACUACUGGAAACGGUAGCUAAUACCGCAUAAUGUCUUCGGACCAAAGCGGGGGACCUCCGGGCCUCGCGCCAUCAGAUGAACCCAUAUGGGAUUAGCUAGUAGGUGAGGUAACGGCUUACCUAGGCGACGAUCCCUAGCUGGUCUGAGAGGAUGAUCAGCCACACUGGGACUGAGACACGGCCCAGACUCCUACGGGAGGCAGCAGUGGGGAAUAUUGCACAAUGGGCGCAAGCCUGAUGCAGCCAUGCCGCGUGUAUGAAGAAGGCCUUCGGGUUGUAAAGUACUUUCAGUCGGGAGGAAGGUGUCAAGGUUAAUAACCUUGGCAAUUGACGUUACCACAAAGAAGCACCGGCUAACUCGUGCCAGCAGCGCGGUAAUACGGAGGGUGCAAGCUUAAUCGAAUUACUGGGCGUAAGCGCACGCAGCGGUGAUUGAUCAGAUGUGAAAUCCCGGGUACCCGGGAUUGCUCUAUACGGUCAGCUAGAGCUUGUGAGGGGGUAAAUUCCAGUGUACACUCAAUGUAAACAUUUUGACGUGUGCACUCGGGAUCUCUCCCCUGUAUGCUCCCGACUUUAUCUCAAAUCUUUUUUUUCUACGGGACGCCUCCUCGCUCUGUUUCCCCAAAUAUUUCCAUUUUCAGUUCUCCCAGAAAUUCUCCCCCUAAACAGACGUUUAUCACACUAAAAAAGUUUCCGGGGUGAGCCAGGGUAUUAAUUUGAAUGAUCACCACCGGGGGGCUUAGCCUAUAUUAAAAAAAGGUAGACCCCUUAAACGGGCGCAGAGAAUAAUAAACUUUUUCUCCCUAAGAAAUAUAAGGGGGUAUAAGCCCCCCCCCCC
rnacentral:rRNA from 1 species